GCAAGUCGGACGAUAAGCUUCCUUCGGGAAGUGGAAAGUGGCAAACGGGGUAGUAAGGCGUAGGUGACGUACCCUCAAGUCCGGGAUAGCCACGGGAAACCGUGAUUAAUACCGGAUAAUCUCUCAGAGUAUGGUGCUUUGAGAGCAAAGGUGUGAUUCCGCUGGAGGAGCGGCUUACGUGAUAUUAGGUAGUUGGUGAGGUAACGGCUCACCAAGCCUCAGAUGUCUAGGGGGUGUGAGAGCAUGGCCCCCACCACUGGGACUGAGACACUGCCCAGACACCUACGGGUGGCUGCAGUCGAGAAUCUUCGGCAAUGGACGCAAGUCUGACCGAGCGACGCCGCGUGCGGGAUGAAGGCCCUUGGGUUGUAAGCCGCUGUCAGAGGGGAUGAAAUGCGAGAGGGCUAUCCCUCUCGUUUGACAGAGCCUCAGAGGAAGCACGGGCUAAGUACGUGCCAGCAGCCGCGGUAACACGUACUGUGCGAACGUUAUUCGGAAUCACUGGGCUUAAAGGGUGCGUAGGCGGUUUAGUAAGUAGGGUGUGAAAUGCCAGAGCUCAACUUUGGCACGGCGCUCUAAACUGCUAAACUUGAGUGAGACAGAGGUGAGCGGAACUCAAGGUGGAGCGGUGAAAUGCGUUGAUAUCUUGAGGAACACCGGUGGCGAAAGCGGCUCACUGGGUCUCUUCUGACGCUGAGGCACGAAAGCUAAGGUAGCAAACGGGAUUAGAUACCCCGGUAGUCUUAGCUGUAAACGAUGAGCACUUGAUUGGAGGGUCCUCCAUAGCCUUCCAGUCGUAGCGAAAGUGUUAAGUGCUCCGCCUGGGGGAGUAUGGUCGCAGGCUGAAACUCAAGAAAUGACGGGGGCUCACACAGCGUUGAGAUGUGCUUAUUCGAGCUACGCGAGACUAUCUAGUCUGACAUGCAUGAAUACCCUGUGAGGCAAGCACGCUCCGUGAACAUGCACAGUGCUGCAUGCCUGUCGUCAGCUCGUGUCUGG
rnacentral:rRNA from 1 species